rnacentral:rRNA from 1 species
AUUGAACGCUGGCGGCAGGCGUAACACAGGAAAGUCGAGCGGAUGAAGGGAGCUUGCUCCUGGAUUCAGCGGCGGACGGGUGAGUAAUGCCUAGGAAUCUGCUUGGUAGUGGGGGAUAACGUCCGGAAACGGGCGCUAAUACCGCAUACGUCCUGAGGGAGAAAGUGGGGGAUCUUCGGACCUCACGCUAUCAGAUGAGCCUAGGUCGGAUUAGCUAGUUGGUGGGGUAAAGGCCUACCAAGGCGACGAUCCGUAACUGGUCUGAGAGGAUGAUCAGUCACACUGGAACUGAGACACGGUCCAGACUCCUACGGGAGGCAGCAGUGGGGAAUAUUGGACAAUGGGCGAAAGCCUGAUCCAGCCAUGCCGCGUGUGUGAAGAAGGUCUUCGGAUUGUAAAACACUUUAAGUUGGGAGGAAGGGCAGUAAGUUAAUACCUUGCUGUUUUGACGUUACCAACAGAAUAAGCACCGGCUAACUUCGUC